AUUGAACGCUGGCGGCAUGCUUUACACAUGCAAGUCGAACGGUAACAGGCCGCAAGGUGCUGACGAGUGGCGAACGGGUGAGUAAUGCAUCGGAACGUGCCCAGUCGUGGGGGAUAACGCAGCGAAAGCUGCGCUAAUACCGCAUACGAUCUCUGGAUGAAAGCGGGGGACCGAAAGGCCUCGCGCGCUUGGAGCGGCCGAUGUCAGAUUAGGUAGUUGGUGGGGUAAAGGCCCACCAAGCCAACGAUCUGUAGCUGGUCUGAGAGGACGACCAGCCACACUAGGACUGAGACACGGCCCAGACUCCUACGGGAGGCAGCAGUGGGGAAUUUUGGACAAUGGGCGCAAGCCUGAUCCAGCAAUGCCGCGUGCAGGAAGAAGGCCUUCGGGUUGUAAACUGCUUUUGUACGGAACGAAACGGUCCGGGUUAAUACCCUGGGCUAAUGACGGUACCGUAAGAAUAAGCACCGGCUAACUACGCGCCAGCAGCCGCGGUAACAC
rnacentral:rRNA from 1 species